CAAGCCCCUGGUUCGCCUCGCUCACUAUAAAACCAGCGGGAAAGGAGUGAGGAAGACGAAAUCAAGGAGGCGGAAAGAAGAAGAGCUGAAAGAAGAAGAGCGGAAAGUAGUGAAUCGUGUGCCUUCAUUGCGAUCAAUGGCGGAGCAGUUGACGGAGGAGCAGAUCGCUUUUUUCAAGGAGGCAUUCAGCCUCUUCGACAAGGACGGAGACGGCUGCAUAACUACAAAAGAGUUAGGCACCAUUAUGAGAUCCUUAGGCCAAAACCCAAGUGAAGCUGAAUUGAGAGAUAUGAUCAGUGAAGUUGAUGCUGACCAAAAUGGAACAAUUGAUUUUCUUGAGUUCUUGAAUCUGAUGACACGUAAAACCAAGGAUGCUGAUUCCGAGGAGGAGCUGAUGGAGGCAUUCAAAGUGUUUGACAAGGACUCAAACGGGUUCAUUUCUGCUCAAGAGCUCCGCCAUGUGAUGGCAACCCUGGGCGAGAAAUUUACGGACGAGGAGGUCGACGAAAUGAUACGAGAAGCAGACAUCAACGGCGAUGGACAAGUCGACUAUCAGGAGUUUGUGCAGAUGAUGUUGGCCAAGUAAUACUCGCAUCAGUUUAUGGAGGCAGUCUACCAAAUUACCCCGGCUUGUUAGAAACUGUUAUGGGCCACAAUCAUGGCUAACCUGCCUUUUUUGGUCGAGUGCUUCACAUGAACAUUUUGGUCUUUAUUUCGAGACACAAAUGAGAGAUCAAUAAGUAUCUGAUCGAUCAGCUCAAUCCAGAUCCUUUGCCUCCUCCUCGUCCUCCAUCGCCUCGUCCCCGAUCUUGAUCACCUCCUCCACUCCUCCGUUCAUAGCCGCUCUGCCUCGGGCGGUGGCCUCUGAUGACGCCACCAGCGCUGCCGCCGC